UGGAGGCCGCGGGCGUGUGGAGGCCGUGGGCGGGGUCCCGGGGCGGGGGGUCCCGGCGCGG
rnacentral:miRNA from 1 species